rnacentral:rRNA from 1 species
AGAGUUUGAUCAUGGCUCAGGACGAACGCUGGCGGCGUGCCUAAUACAUGCAAGUCGAACGAGAUCCAUCCGGUGGUAACACCGGUGAAGAUCGAGUGGCGAACGGGUGCGUAACACGUGAGCAACCUGCCCCGAAGACCGGGAUAACACCGGGAAACCAGUGCUAAUACCGGAUGACCUCAUGAGCCUGCAUGGGCACA